CAUUUUCUCUCCCGGCCUCUGGUCAAGCCUAUUCAAACCUACUUGUCAUUUGACACCAGAGUUCUAGUUAAAAUGCAGCACUGGCCCUACAGGUUCCCCUUUGAUCCUCCAUUGGGGACCCCCUUGCCCACCACCUGCCACUCACCCAGGGUGGCAAGCAAGACCCUGCGGGCCUGCCCUGCCUCUCUCCAUCUUCCCCACCACCUUUCCCCACAGGGCUGUCCCAUGAGCUUUCACCGAAGUUUCAGCAUAUCUCCCCACAUCCCAGGUCUGAGCUUUACCCAAGAGUCUCUUCUCUGUACUCUAAUAGCAGGUGGUCCUUUAAAUGAGGUGGAUGUGUGUUAUUUUACCUAGGAACUUCACCAUCAUCUCUCUCUCGCUAGACUUAUAGAUUUUUGGCAGUAAACAGUUGGCUUUAAUAGUCGUGACAGAAAUAGAAAUUUCCCUGUUUCCUGUUAUUCUUUGAACUGGCAUGUCAGCUUCUGUUUUAGGCUUUGUUGAUAAGAAAUAUUUAAAUCAAAGGAAGACUUUGAAGAAAAGGCAGUAACCUUGCUGCCAUACCUGUAAACACAGGAGGCUUAUUUAACAUGAUGCUUAAGAGCGUAGGUUUGGGGUAGCUUUUCCACCUGUCAGAGCUCAGUGGCCUUGGAUAAGUUGCUUUCGUCUGUGAGGUUCAGGUUCCUCAACUGUAAAGAGAUAUAAACCACAUGUUCCGGUUUGCUUAGAACAGCCCUGGUUUACAGCUGUUAUUCUGUGUAAUUAUUAAUUGCACCCCCUUUCACUCUCAGAGGUGUUCUGGUUUCGAUAAAAUUACAUAGUUACCCUACCUACCUUGGAGAGUUGGUGUGAGGUUGAAGUAAAUUAAUGUUUGUGAAACCCUUAGCACAGUGCCUGGCACAGAGUAGAU
rnacentral:lncRNA from 1 species